UACGUAGGGGCCCAGCGUUGUCCGGAAUCAUUGGGCGUAAAGCGCGCGUAGGCGGCCAGACAAGUCCGGUGUGAAAGUCACAGGCUCAACCUGUGAAUGCCGCUGGAAACUGUCUGGCUAGAGUCCGGAAGGGGCGAGUGGAAUUCCUGGUGUAGCGGUGAAAUGCGCAGAUAUCAGGAAGAACACCUAUGGCGAAGGCAGCUCUCUGGGACGGUACUGACGCUGAGACGCGAAAGCGUGGGGAGCGAACAGG
rnacentral:rRNA from 1 species